rnacentral:lncRNA from 1 species
GAUCUCUAAGCACACCUAAGAGAGAUUUUAAGAGAGUUUUAUAUGUUACCUUAACUUGUAAAAGUGAGAGAGUUGUGUCUUUUUCUAAGGUUGAGCUUUAGUCCCAUUCAUUGAUAAUAACCCUAACUUGGCUUCCAUAUUCAAUCUUCAAUUUGUUUCUUCAAGAGUGAAACCUAAUCUUUUUUCCUUCUAUCUUCCUCUCUUCAUUUGUAUUCAUCAUUUUUGUAAGAAGAAUAUAUUGUAAAGGGAUGGUGUGGAUAAGCUUGGAGGUAGAACAUGCAAUGGAGGGUGGUGGCGUUUUCUCCUUUCUUCUUCAUUUUCUCUCAUCUUUUACAUUCAACCCUCCAUCUUUCUUUCUUUCAUUCAU